rnacentral:rRNA from 1 species
GACAGAGGGUGCAAACGUUGUUCGGAAUUAUUGGGCGUAAAGAGCUCGUAGGCGGUUCGUCGCGUCGGCUGUGAAAACCCGGAGCUCAACUCCGGGCCUGCAGUCGAUACGGGCGGACUUGAGUGUUGCAGGGGAGACUGGAAUUCCUGGUGUAGCGGUGAAAUGCGCAGAUAUCAGGAGGAACACCGGUGGCGAAGGCGGGUCUCUGGGCAACUACUGACGCUGAGGAGCGAAAGCGUGGGGAGCGAACAGG